GGAGAGGUGCGAGAGUGGUUGAAUCGGGCGGACUCGAAAUCCGUUGUACUGUUCUGCAGUACCGUGGGUUCGAAUCCCACCCUCUCCG
rnacentral:tRNA from 1 species